GAUGAACGCUGGCGGCGUGCUUAACACAUGCAAGUCGAACGGGAAAUAUUUCAUUGAGACUUCGGUGGAUUUGAUCUAUUUCUAGUGGCGGACGGGUGAGUAACGCGUGGGUAACCUGCCUUAUACAGGGGGAUGACAGUCAGAAAUGGCUGCUAAUACCGCAUAAGCGCACAGAGCUGCAUGGCUCAGUGUGAAAAACUCCGGUGGUAUAAGAUGGACCCGCGUUGGAUUAGCUUGUUGGUGGGGUAACGGCCCACCAAGGCGACGAUCCAUAGCCGGCCUGAGAGGGUGAACGGCCACAUUGGGACUGAGACACGGCCCAGACUCCUACGGGAGGCAGCAGUGGGGAAUAUUGCACAAUGGGGGAAACCCUGAUGCAGCGACGCCGCGUGAAGGAAGAAGUAUCUCGGUAUGUAAACUUCUAUCAGCAGGGAAGAUAGUGACGG
rnacentral:rRNA from 1 species